GAUGAACGCUAGCUACAGGCUUAACACAUGCAAGUCGAGGGGAAACGAUAGAGAAAGCUUGCUUUUUCUAGGCGUCGACCGGCGCACGGGUGAGUAACGCGUAUCCAACCUGCCCACCACUUGGGGAUAACCUUGCGAAAGUAAGACUAAUACCCAAUGACGUCUCUAGAAGACAUCUGAAAGAGAUUAAAGAUUUAUCGGUGAUGGAUGGGGAUGCGUCUGAUUAGCUUGUUGGCGGGGUAACGGCCCACCAAGGCGACGAUCAGUAGGGGUUCUGAGAGGAAGGUCCCCCACAUUGGAACUGAGACACGGUCCAAAACUCCUACGGGAGGCAGCAGUGAGGAAUAUUGGUCAAUGGACGAGAGUCUGAACCAGCCAAGUAGCGUGCAGGAUGACGGCCCUAUGGGUUGUAAACUGCUUUUAUAAGGGAAUAAAGUCGGGUAUGGAUACCCGUUUGCAUGUACUUUAUGAAUAAGGAUCGGCUAACUCCGUG
rnacentral:rRNA from 1 species